rnacentral:lncRNA from 1 species
AGGGUUGGAAGGAGAAUGGCUAUUUUCUGUCAGCCUAAGCAGAACAUGUCUUUACAAAGCAGAACUGGUAAGCCUGAGGGUAUUUGAUCCAAGGUGAAAGGCACAGACAUAAACAUGUGUGUUUCCUUGUCAUCAGUGGAACUUUUGUUCAGCAGUCCAAGCCCUGAGCCCUAAGUUUGCCAUUUCCUUGCCAAGUAACUGUAAGCAAAUUUAUUCACUUCUUUGAAACUCAGUUUUCUCAUCUAUUAAAUGGGAAUACAAAUAUCUUACUCAUAGCAUUUGUCCUCUUCUUCCCAAAGAGAGAGUGAGAACAAGCAUAACCUUUUGUGUACAUUAGAAAAUCAAGCUUGGUACCCACCACAGCUCCCUGUGGUCCAGUGUGACAAGGGGUACCCUUGAUUCAGAUUGAUGACAUUUGUCACUACUGAUGGGAGCUGAAUCCUGGCAGGAGCAUAUCUCAGCUGGGAUGUGAUCUGGUGCCAGGCACCAGUGGAUAAGCAGGAGGCACAGCAAAGAUGCCCCUUUGGGGUUGGAUGCAAAUAUGGAGAUGGGGCAGAGGGAAACCCAGUGGACUGGUCCAGUCUUAGAUUUAGUGUUGACUUAGUGUGCAACUUGGGGCACGCCCUCCCAACUAAAGUUCUCUGAUCUAAAAAAUAAAUAGUUGACUUUUUCCUAAGAAGUCAAUCGAGUUUUCUUCAGUUUUCUGUAAGUUUAUGUAAGUCAAUCUUUUGAUCACCUUAGUGAAAUGAGUUCUUAUCUCUAAAGUGCUCAGAACUUUCCUUGGCAUGUAAUAGUUGUUUAAUAAACAUUUUCUUUCUCUUCUCUCUUCUUCCAUCUUUUCAUUCCUCCCAUUUCCACUCCAGAAAUGAGCAAAGUUCUCAACUAAGGCCCAUGGACUGCUUUUCUGAUGCACAUUCAUUUUAUAUUUGGUCACUGUCCAGACCUAAUUCAUAGCUACUUCUUGGAUGAAGGUGACUGGUCGUAUACUCUGAACUCACUGGUCCUUCAGGACAAUAUUUGCCCAAAGGACACUGGAGAUGUCUAAAAACCAAAUAAAAUCUUAUUAUCAGGGAGCGCAUUCUGGAAUCACCCAGACAUAGGCUAGAAUCCAAGCUCCUUUUAUGUAAAUGAAGUGUGUUCUAGAGAAGUGUUAAAAAUAUCAGGUUCUUGGAGUUCCCAUGGUGGCUCAGUGGGUUAAGAACCCGAUGUCUUCUCUAUGAGGAUUCAGGUUUGAUCCCUGGCCUUGCUCAGUGGAUUAAGGAUCUGGUGUUGCUGUAAGCUGUGGUGUAGGUUGCAGAUGCAGCUCAGGUAUGGCGUUGUUGUAGCUGCCAUGUAGCUACAGCUUGGCUUCGACCCCUGGCCUGGUAACUUCCAUAUGCCGCAGCGGACGUGGUCAAAAAGGAAAAACUCAGAUUCUUCAGUCUUUCUCAGUUUAAAUUCCAACUCUCCCACUUAGUAGCUGCGCAAUCUAAGGUAAUCAUUAACCUCUUUCUUGUGCUUCAACUUUUUUGUCUGUAAAUAGGGAUAGUAGUAAAAAUUCAUAGAGUUGCGAGGAUUAAAUAUAACACAAAUGACAUACAGAACCAUGCCCUGUAAUAUUACAAUGAUACUAUUACUACUAAUUUAAUAAUAUUGUAACUAUACUAUUACUACUGCUGUUAGUAAUAUUAUAACUAAUAUUCAGUAAUAUUGCAAUACUGUAACUAUAGUAAUAUUAUAACUAUCUUGUUAGUAUGGUUUAGUGACAUUUUAGUAAUAUUGUAACUAUAUUCUUACUACUGUUACUAAGACAAUUACUAUUAUUACUUUGGCAGUUGAGUCCAUACUACUCCUGCUACCAUGAAAUCACUGCCUACUUAAAACAUUCCUCAUUUCAUCAUGAUUUCUUGGAUUCAGACAUAUCUUAUAAAAUAUAUCUUAAAGCAUAACUGCUAGGUACUAUGUACUGUCUUCAAGUUCUAAAGAAAUUCCAUUUCUUAAUUUAAAUAGGAUUUCUCGUAUUAUUAAUAAAGUAUGUUAAUAGUAACUCAUUUGCCAGUUGAGUGAGAUUAUGUUUUUACCAUGAGAGUUAAAUAUGUAUGUAAAAUGUAAAUUAUGUAAAUUUUUACUCAGUUGAAAAGAUCUUUUCAAGCACCCACCGCACAACAGAGUGACUUAUUCCAGAGUACAAAUAAGAUUAGUGACAGCGAGAAGAGAGCAGUAUUAAAAAACCUGAAAUAGACAUAUGCAAAACAUAAAAUUGAAAACUCAAGUGGAAUAAACAUCUCAAAAAACUCUCCUUUUUCAGGAGACAUCAGUAUUAGGUUGUUGUCUCAGAGAGGUUACUUCCUCUAACAAACAUAUGAUUUAAGUGCUUAUAUAAUUUUUUAAAAAGAGGAUAUUAAGGAGGAGUAUGUUUCAUUUUCUUUCAGAGACCCGAGACUCCCAGCCCCAGCCUUAGGAGCAAAUAAUACCAUGUAUCUAAAAAUGAGCUUUUUCUUUCCUCCUUAGGAUCUCUCUUCUUAAAAUCACAUCCAGAGUCUUAUAAUUCCAGGACCUCAAAGAGCUGGUUCUGUCCUCUAAUCCUUUCUCCAUUAGAGAAUUCAGCACUGCUUUGAGCAACAGUGGUGAGCUGAUGACCUGAAUCUCCUUAAUCCAGAGCAGCCACAAUGCUAGACCAGUAACUAGGGUGCAUUUUUCUCAUCUACUUCACACAUUUUCUCGUUCCCUUUAUAUCUUCAUGGUGUUCUGAUGAUCGAAGCAGUGUGACAGCCAGAGGUAUGGUUGGCUGAGGCUCGUGGGGAGUUGGGGGGUUGAAGGAACAAGAGUUAGAUUUCUUUGGAUUCGCCUUGGUUCCUCGCACCAUCUGAAACAACAGUGUCACUAAUAGCUGCAGUUUAUUGAGCAAUGGACUGUGCCCCAGGCAGAUGCUGAGUUUAAGCACAUUAUCUUACUUAACCCUCACAACUAACCUGAGACUUUCCCUCCCUAUUACAAAUGAGGAAAUGGAGGCACAGGGAAAUGAAAUAUCUCACUCGAUGUCCCUGGGUUAAUGGCAAAAGCUGAGAUUCAAACUCAGAUCUGUCUGACAUCAAAACCUCCAUUCCUUGUCACCGCAAAUAUUGUGUUUGGAUGGAUGGAUUCAUCUGAAAUUCCAUUUCGAUUGGUCUCAGAGAUUUAGGAUUGAUGCACCCUGAGUUCCUUUUUCCUGUUGGUGCUCGUCUUUUAUCUUUUAUCUAGGCUACUCCUAAGGUACAGUGGUGGUGGUUAUCAAAGCUGGUGAUUAGACUUUUAUGAGUGUGACUUUUUACCCAUUUUAUUACAUUGCUUCUUCUAUUUUGUCCUUAGACAUAAGGGGAAUUCCUUAGGUUACUUUGGGUAACACCUUGGGUUUCCUAAUUGGGUAAUAGUCUGAAAGAGAGUUGUAAAAGCUUGUAUUACCUGGAUAACGGUAUUGGUUCAGUCUCUUCUUACUAGAGAAUUUCUCUUCUCAGAGUAGAAGUCCUGCUGGAUUAGAAAAGUAUGUAUCUGGCUGCCCAACAAGAGAGUUUCAUGAGAAUUACUCCUAUACAUUUAUAAAUCUGAAUGUUUAUUUACCACAUUAUCUGAAAUAACUCAGGGGAAGAGUUUUUUAAAGAGAAUUUGGAAGGAUUGGGAGUUUGGGACUUUGGGAUUAGCAGGUGCAGACCAGUACAUGUAGGAUGGAUAAACAAGGCCUUUGUGUAUAGCAGAGGGAACUGUAUUUGAUAUCCUGUGAUACACCAUAAUGGAAAAGAAUAUGAAAAAGAAUAUACACAUAUGUAACUGAGUCAUUUUCUUGUACAGCAGAAAUUAAUACAACACUGUACAUCAACUAUAAAAUAAAAUAAAAUACACUAUUAUUACUGAACAAAAUAUGGAAAAAGGGAGGCUUGACUACAUCAGG